rnacentral:rRNA from 1 species
GAUGAACGCUGGCGGCGUGCCUAAUACAUGCAAGUCGAGCGAACAGAUGAGGAUCUUGCUCCUCUGACGUUAGCGGCGGACGGGUGAGUAACACGUGGAUAACCUACCUAUAAGACUGGGAUAACUUCGGGAAACCGGAGCUAAUACCGGAUAAUAUAUUGAACCGCAUGGUUCAUUAGUGAAAGACGGUUUUGCUGUCACUUAUAGAUGGUUCCGCGCCGCAUUAGCUAGUUGGUACGGUAACGGCUUACCAAGGCUACGAUGCGUAGCCGACCUGAGAGGGUGAUCGGCCACACUGGAACUGAGACACGGUCCAGACUCCUACGGGAGGCAGCAGUAGGGAAUCUUCGGCAAUGGGCGAAAGCCUGACGGAGCAACGCCGCGUGAGUGAUGAAGGUCUUCGGAUCGUAAAACUCUGUUAUUAGGGAAGAACAAAUGUGUAAGUAACUAUGCACGUCUUGACGGUACCUAAUCAGAAAGCCACGGCUAACUACGUG